rnacentral:rRNA from 1 species
UAGGGAUACCCGCUGAACUUAAGCAUAUCAAUAAGCGGAGGAAAAGAAACCAACAGGGAUUGCCUCAGUAACGGCGAGUGAAGCGGCAACAGCUCAAAUUUG